rnacentral:tRNA from 1 species
GCCUGGGUGGCUCAGUCGGUUGGGCGACUGACUUCGGCUCAGGUCAUGAUCUCAUGGCUUGUGGGUUCGAGCCCCGCGUUGGGCU